AGAAAUGGAGCUUACUUGUAGGCAGGCGCUUACUCCUGAUGCAGCAGCUAAAUCCAGAAGGUCUUGGGAGCAAGGGGGAGCAGGAGGCUUUAACAGCAGCACAGCCCGGCACUUUGGAAAUAAAGCCACCUGCAGGACUGUGAUAUACGGAACACCUUACAGACAGAGAUGCCCUCACAGAUUCUGACAUACUUCUGAAGAACUGUAAGAGAAACAAACAUCUGGAGGUUUAGCAACAUGCAUGAAAUACAUUAAAUAAAUAUUGCAUCACUGCCUCCUCAAGUGUGCAACCCCACCAUGAGCCGCCGUCAGGGAUCCCGCCCUGACGUUUGCAGUGAGGACAAAUGACAGUCAGAGGUCAGCCAGAAAGUCGGGGAGCUGAACUGGGAGCUAACAAAACUCAUGUUAGUUUCUGCAACCAUUGCUGUUUUUCUUUUUACAUGGACCUCAGC